rnacentral:lncRNA from 1 species
GAAUAUUUUGGAUGAUAUAUAAUAUUGUUAUUGUUGAUUUUAUCAUUUUGUCGUUUUAUAAAAAUUGCAAAAUUUAAAAAUAUACUACAAUUAUAUAAAGUGCAAAAAAACUGUUAUAAAAGGUGCAAAAACCGUUAUAAGAAGUAAAAAAACUGUUAACUAUGAUAGGAAAAAAAUAAUAAAAAAAUACAAAAUAACGGACAAAUUCUCAUAUAUAACGGUAAUAAACCGUUAUGUAUAAGCAUUAUAGAUAACGGUUUCAUACCGUUAUGUAUAGAAAAAAAACUGUUAACUAUGAUAAGGAAAAAAACAAANUUCCCUUUACAUCUCUUUAGCGAACCUAUUCUUCCAUUGGCCCUUCUCACUGAUAAGGACAGAUUAAUUGGAUGUUGAAUGUUGUAAUCUUAUGGAUACUUAGUGAUAAACUUUUGUGUGACUCGAUAAGUAGCUAUAUUUAAUGUUUCUUUAAUUUUUUAUGAGCUGGUCAACUUAAUGAGGAUCUUGGCCUUAAUAUACAUUGUGGAUACUGUUUCUCAUUUUAGACUCAACUACGCAGAUAUUUGUUCAUGGCAUAAGGCUUUUGAUCUGCACUUGCCAGGUCCAGUGUUGGUGAACGUGAUGAAAAACCAAAAGCAGAUAAGUUGUCAAUGAAGAAAAAAGGAUUAGGCUCUGAAGCUAGGGCUGAGCGCUUGGCUAAUGCAGAUGCAGAUUUACAGUUGCUUGGAGAAGCAGAACGAUCAAGACAGCUGCACAAGCAAAAGAAGCGCAGGCGUCAAGGACAUGAAGAUGAAGUAUGCUCUAAUUUCCUUUUCCUUCCUUUUUUUAUAUUUUGUUAUUAGAAUCUGCUACAUAAGGACAAUAUGUAUCUGUACUGUUUGUGGAUGUAUGUUUGAUUGAGUGGCAAGGAUUUCGCUGCAUAUGGUUUCGAAUUCUGAAUUUCUCAAGUUGUUAUCUGACAGCCUGUUACUUGCUACUCAAUAUGUUUAGAAUUGAGGUUUAUACUAAGUGGAGCUGUGCCUGUUACUUGCUACUCAAUAUGUUUAAAGUCCAGCUGCUUGCUUCGUCUAUGUGGAAAGCCUACACUUUUUGUAUUUUGUUUUCUUGGGGUGUAAUUUUCAUUUCACUGGAUGGUAUAGGUGCUAAACCGGAUGGCUGGACUGGACAGGAAAUCAUGAUUUCCUAAUAGUUUUGAAUAAGUGAAUUUGGGCAUUCUUGAGGUAAGAUAGCUAAAUGUUUGAUGCUUAUGUAAUUGAACUCUUGGGAGCGUGGAAUGUGAUUAUAUGAUAGAAAUUGGGGGAUAUUGAGCAUGUUACUAUGUGUUGAGCCAAUUUUGAUUUAUGAAUAAGGGAAGAACGACUUUUAGUAUUGAGUGGAGAACUUGUGGUGAUUGUCCAAAUAACUUGAAAUUUUUACUGUAAUAACUUCAGCAUGAGUAGGAGGUUUCUGUAAAAUUUCAGCUAAAUUGGACACCGUUAGAUAUGUCAAACAAUUUUCUUAAAAGUACUGCGCGAAGCAGCAAGGUUCUGUGGCAGAUUCUGCAUUUUGUGAGAUAAUUUCUUAUACACUUGAGAAGAUAUUGUAUUUUUGUAACUUUCUAAUAAAGAUAGACUUUAAUAGCUUUCUUAAAAGGUAAAGCUUGCAUUUUUCUUUGAAAAUGUUGAUUUUAUAUGAUUUUUCAAAGUUGAGAUAAUGAUUUUUCAAAGUUGAGAUUCAUGUUUCUUACUUGAGAAAGUUAUGAAUAGAAUUAUGCUAAGUAAUUGAUGUUUCAGUUAUUCCCUUCUUCAUUCCCUCGGACUAUAUUCAACUAUACGGUAUAUAUGUAACGUUGUGAGAGAGAGCAGAGUUGAAAUAUCUCUUUCAUAUUUCUUUUAUUUAAGAAGCUCGGGUUGGCUAUGUUUUGCAGGUGAACUCACUCGUGUUGGUGCAUGGUAAUCUUCUUCUCAUUUUAACAAUAUAGAUAGAACAUUGAGAUCUUGAAGAUUACUUAUGUAACUCACAUGUUGCCGGAUUUUUUUAAUUCUCCAGUUCAUUAUUGUGAUUGAGUUUAUCAUCUUGGCGGAUCAAGUAGAUGGGAGUCGAUGAGCUAUGAGGACUACUACAAACGAGAAGGCUGAAGCAGAUAACGUCGUUUCAAAUGUCUAGCAAGUUGCGCGCAUUUGUAAUAUUUUUUAAUUAAACAUCUAGCUAAAUAGAAUAUAUGUGAAGUUUUCAUUAUAUUUGGAUGAUAAUGUAUGAAUAUUUUGGAUGAUAUAUAAUAUUGUUAUUGUUGAUUUUAUCAUUAUGUCGUUUUAUAAAAAUUGCAAGAUUUAAAAAUAUACUACAAUUAUAUAAAGUGCAAAAAACUGUUAUAAAAGGUGCAAAAACCGUUAUAAGAAGUUAAAAAAACUGUUAACUAUGAUGGAAAAAAACAAAAAAAAAAUACAAAAUAACGGACAAAUUCUCAUAUAUAACGGUAAUAAACCGUUAUGUAUAAGCAUUAUAGAUAACGGUUUCAUACCGUUAUGUAUAGAAAAAAACUGUUAACUAUGAUAGGAAAAAAAAUACAAAACAUAACGGAAAAAUCCUCAUACAUAACGGUAUAAACCGUUAUGUAUAAUCAUUAUAGAUAACGGUUUCAUACCGUUAUGUAUAGAAAAAAAACUGUUAACUAUGAUAGGAAAAAAAACAAAAAAAUACAAAACAUAACGGAAAAAUCCUCAUACAUAACGGUAUAAACCGUUAUGUAUAAUCAUUAUAGAUAACGGUUUCAUACCAUUAUGUAUG